GAUGAAGAACGUAGCGAAAUGCGAUAAGUAAUGUGAAUUGCAGAAUUCAGUGAAUCACCGAAUCUUUGAACGCACAUUGCGCCCGCCAGCACUCUGGCGGGCAUGCCUGUUCGAGCGUCAUUUCAACCAUCAAGCCCCCAGGGGCUUGUGCUGGGGCCCUGCGGCUGCCCGCAGGCCCUGAAAACCAGUGGCGGGCUCGCUAGUCACACCGAGCGCAGUAGCACAUCUCGCUCAGGGCGUGCGGCGGGCUCCUGCCGUGAAACCCCCCACUGUAACCCCAAAGGUUGACCUCGGAUCAGGUAGGAAUACCCGCUGAACUUAAGCAUAUCAAUAGCGGAGGA
rnacentral:misc_RNA from 1 species